AGUCUGUGCGGACUGCACAGGCUAAUCUGGGACAACACUUUACGCACCUGCAUUAUGCCCAGUUUCUCAGAGUGCGACACAUAUUAUUUCAAAGUUCAAUAGCAUAGUUUGGCUUAUAUUAAGUGAUAUAAACAUUUGUGUCAUUCUGUCAUUAUUCUGUGUGAAUUUAUAAAAAGUAACAUGACAAUUAUUUGUAGGACCCAUAUUCAUCAUGUGUGGAAGAACCAGAUGUCUGUGAAGAAAUGUCUUGUGAACAGUCGCCUGUUCGGAUCAGUGAUCCUGCAUCACAUUUUGAUAAUGUGUAUUCGCAGUCAUCACAGACAUCUGAGACGGUUGUAUUUCGGCCAACAGAACAUAAGGGAUUCACUGUCAAAACACAGGGAAAGGACAGAAGUGUUGGGGCCUCUGUUGUGUGUCUCAGUUCAUAUUGUAAUUCAUUUAAAUAAUGUUACUUUUAAAUUGCAGACUACAUCUUGCUGCUUUGCAUUCCGUGGCAAAUGCAAACCGCAAGCAGGCUGAGACCAGACAGGGGGAAAAAGAUACAGACUCUCCUAUCCUAAGUACAAGGCUGGACACCAUGUGGUUAAAGCAGUUAAAGAGAAUUGCACUUAUGACUAUGUUGAUGAACUAAUGGCAGAGCUGCUUAGGAUGAAAGAGGAGUACAAGAGCGAUGCCAAUGCAAGGGCUGCCUCUGGCAACAUUCUGUUUUCACCGCCACCCCUGUCUUCAUCUGCAAACAGAAUCCUGAAGUCAGAGGCUGU